AGAGUUUGAUCCUGGCUCAGAUUGAACGCUGGCGGGAUGCUUUACACAUGCAAGUCGAACGGCAGCAUAGAGAGCUUGCUCUCUGAUGGCGAGUGGCGAACGGGUGAGUAAUAUAUCGGAACGUGCCCAGUAAUGGGGAAUAACUAGCCGAAAGGUUAGCUAAUACCGCAUACGACCUAUGGGUGAAAGCAGGGGAUCUUAGGACCUUGCGUUAUUGGAGCGGCCGAUAUCUGAUUAGCUUGUUGGUGGGGUAAAAGCCUACCAAGGCAACGAUCAGUAGCUGGUCUGAGAGGACGAUCAGCCACACUGGAACUGAGACACGGUCCAGACUCCUACGGGAGGCAGCAGUGGGGAAUUUUGGACAAUGGGGGAAACCCUGAUCCAGCCAUCCCGCGUGAGUGAAGAAGGCCUUCGGGUUGUAAAGCUCUUUCGAAAGUGAAGAAAACUUAUUUCGUAAUAUGUUAUAAGUAUGACGGUAACUUUAGAAGAAGCACCGGCUAACUACGUGCCAGCAGCCGCGGUAAUACGUAGGGUGCGAGCGUUAAUCGGAAUUACUGGGCGUAAAGCGUGCGCAGGCGGUUUUGUAAGUCAGAUGUGAAAUCCCCGAGCUUAACUUGGGAACUGCGUUUGAAACUACAAGACUAGAGUGUGUCAGAGGGGGGUAGAAUUCCACGUGUAGCAGUGAAAUGCGUAGAGAUGUGGAGGAAUACCAAUGGCGAAAGCAGCCCCCUGGGAUAACACUGACGCUCAUGCACGAAAGCGUGGGGAGCGAACAGGAUUAGAUACCCUGGUAGUCCACGCCCUAAACGAUGUCAACUAGUUGUUGGUGGAGUAAGAUCCAUGAGUAACGUAGCUAACGCGUGAAGUUGACCGCCUGGGGAGUACGGUCGCAGAUUAAAAACUCAAAGGAAUUGACG
rnacentral:rRNA from 1 species